AAUAGAUACCCUGGUAGUCCACGCCGCAAACGAUGAGUGCUAGGUGUUAGGGGGGGUCCAACCCCUUAGUGCUGAAGUUAACACAUUAAGCACUCCGCCUGGGGAGUACGACCGCAAGGUUGAAACUCAAAGGAAUUGACGGGGGCCCGCACAAGCAGUGGAGCACGUGGUUUAAUUCGAAGCAACGCGAAGAACCUUACCAGGUCUUGACAUCCUCUGACAACCCUAGAGAUAGGGCGUUCCCCUUCGGGGGACAGAGUGACAGGUGGUGCAUGGUUGUCGUCAGCUCGCGUCGUGAGGUGUUGGGUUAAGUCCCGCAACGAGCGCAACCCUUGAUCUUAGUUGCCAGCAUUCAGUUGGGCACUCUAAGGUGACUGCCGGUGACAAACCGGAGGAAGGUGGGGAUGACGUCAAAUCAUCAUGCCCCUUAUGACCUGGGCUACACACGUGCUACAAUGGAUGGUACAAAGGGCUGCGAAACCGCGAGGUUUAGCCAAUCCCAUAAAAACCAUUCUCAGUUCGGAUUGCAGGCUGCAACUCG
rnacentral:rRNA from 1 species